rnacentral:SRP_RNA from 2 species
GUCUGAGCUCAGUAACAAGGGCUUUUGACCUAUGUGGGGACAUUGAGAUGGUGGAACAUUGGCCCGUCCCACUGGUCGGAUCUGUUGUAGCAAGUUCUGGGAUGCCCAGUCCAAGCUGAAAGUGAAUCUUGUUUGUUGAGGGAAGGCUUGACUCAGGAGGUUCCUAAAGAGGUGUGAGGCUGGUUUCACUGAGCAGCUCUCACCUUCCUCUCUCGGUAAUGGACGGAUCACAGCUCGAAGCCACUCAGAUCUAGCAUGGCUUGGUGGCUUGUACCCAGCUUAACCACCAUCUUU